rnacentral:rRNA from 1 species
AUUGAACGCUGGCGGCAUGCUUUACACAUGCAAGUCGAACGGUAACAGGCUUUCGGGUGCUGACGAGUGGCGAACGGGUGAGUAAUGCAUCGGAACGUACCCAGAGGUGGGGGUUAACGCAGCGAAAGCUGUGCUAAUAUCGCAUGUGAUCUGAGGAUGAAAGCGGGGGACCGAGCAGCAAUGUUUGGCCUCGCGCCUUUGGAGCGGCCGAUGUCGGAUUAGCUAGUUGGUGGGGUAAAGGCCUACCAAGGCGACGAUCCGUAGCCGGUCUGAGAGGAGGACCGGCCACACUGGGACUGAGACACGGCCCAGACUCCUAAGGGAGGCAGCAGUGGGGAAUUUUGGACAAUGGGCGCAAGCCUGAUCCAGCAAUGCCGCGUGCGGGAAGAAGGCCUUCGGGUUGCAAACCGCUUUUGGCAGGAACGAAACGGUGUCCGCUAAUACCGGGCGCUAAUGACGGUACCUGCAGAAUAAGCACCGGCUAACUACGUG